AAGAGCCGUAUGACAGGAGACUGUCACGUACGGUUCCGUGGGAGCCCGGAGGUGAGAUUCCCCCGGGCGAUCCGAC
rfam:Streptomyces ghanaensis ATCC 14672 supercont1.1 genomic scaffold, whole genome shotgun sequence.